ACUUCUAAUGGAGCACUUGGUGAAUAGUCCGCGCGAUUUAUUUUCGCUGGUUUAUUUUUGUCAUCCUCCCACCAUCUUUUUUUUUGUCAUCCUACCACCUCUGCUCUACCCUCCAUCGAAAUAAACCGGUGAAAAAAACCCCUGGGAUCGAUCCCUCGUUCACACAGCAGAUCGAUCUCCGCCGCCGCCCGAUCGCACGCCCUAUCCACCCCUACGCCCAGUCCGCGACGGAUCCAUCCCUGUGAGAUCCAAGAUCGCCGCCGCCAAGGUCCAAGAUCGCCGCCAUCGACCUCUGAGAUCGCCAUCCCUUUCUAUUUCUGGUUCGCUGGCCUCUCUCCCUUUUCCCAAUCUCUCUCUCUUUUGUGCGCGUGCAUCGCUGCCGGCGUCCACUACUGGCCGCCUCCGCCGUCGAUCCAUGGCGCUACCGAUGGACUUCUUGCCGGCCGCAACCUCGACGAUCCUUCUCUCCAUGCGCCACUGCUUCCCUUGCGUUGCAGCCGCCCCACGAUCUCCACCUCCGCAAUGGCGUACGAGGCCUUCCCACAUAUGGCAGAUCGAUCUGAGACCCAUGGCCGAGGUCGCCGAUGCGCCCCACCGCGCCGUGCGUGGGGUCUCCACCUCCCCUCCCCAUAUUCGUCUCUCAGCCGGUGGCAGCGACGACUCAGAGUGGCACUGCUCCUCACCUAUGCUCCGGCCGACGCCCUCUAUCCCUCCUCCACCGGAGACAAAAGGAGGUGGGUUCAACUGGCAGAGCCGUGGGCGAGAUUUCGUGUGAGCAGACGGAGCAGCCGUUGAGGUCCUGGUGAACCAUGGCUGGAGCUGGAACAGAGAGGUAGGGAGGAGGAGAUGAGGGGGACAAGGAAGGCGUCACGCUGGGAAGGAGAUACGGAGGAGGAUUAGGAGGAGGUGAAGGGGAUCGUGGAGUACGUGGAGUUGCCGGUGGAGGCCAAGGUGUACGUCAGCAACCUGCCCUAUGACGUCAACCGCGAGCACAGGAUACGACAUGGUGUAUCUUGCCCAGUACAUAUCGAUGCAACUUAAGAAAAGAUCAGUCGGUCUGUAGCAAGAAUUGGUAGUAUGGAAGUUGUAAUUUUUUAGAUGCUCUGAUGCAAGCUGUAGCAACAGGGAUUUUACAUGAAUAUGUUGGUAUAAUUAUUAUGGUAAAUGUACAAAAAGGGGAAUCUCUCUCCAAAAUGUCUAAUAGCUAGGCCUUAGACCUUCAGAGAAAGAUUCAAGGAAGAUAAUGGACAAGUACAUUGGUAUGAACAGAAAUAUGAUUGGGUCAUUGAUUUUAAUAGAAAGUGCAUACAAAUUAUCAGUUUUC